rnacentral:rRNA from 1 species
GACGAACGCUGGCGGCGUGCUUAACACAUGCAAGUCGAACGGAAAGGCCCUGCUUUUGUGGGGUGCUCGAGUGGCGAACGGGUGAGUAACACGUGAGUAACCUGCCCUUGACUUUGGGAUAACUUCAGGAAACUGGGGCUAAUACCGGAUAGGAGCUCCUGCUGCAUGGUGGGGGUUGGAAAGUUUCGGCGGUUGGGGAUGGACUCGCGGCUUAUCAGCUUGUUGGUGGGGUAGUGGCUUACCAAGGCUUUGACGGGUAGCCGGCCUGAGAGGGUGACCGGCCAAAUUGGGACUGAGAUAAGGCCCAGACUCCUACGGGAGGCAGCAGUGGGGAAUAUUGCACAAUGGGCGGAAGCCUGAUGCAGCAACGCCGCGUGCGGGAUGACGGCCUUCGGGUUGUAAACCGCUUUCGCCUGUGACGAAGCGUGAGUGACGGUAAUGGGUAAAGAAGCACCGGCUAAAUACGUG